CUCUUCCUUUUUGCCACCGAGUGUGAAUGGCAACAGCCAAAUUAUUUGUGAAGGGAAAGAGCUGUAGAACCUCUUAUAGCAAAGGGAACGUCUGGAAGUGUCUACACCAACUUGGAAGUCCUCCAAAGAAUAUUUUUUGAGGUAGUACUGCAUUAUUCACCUGGAAAAAUGUGGCUGAGGUUUCUGCUCAUCAUCACCAUCACCAUUUCGCUUUUAAGAGGAAGCACAGGACAAUCAGUGAAGCAAGCAUCUGGCAUUGUGACUGUUACUGAAGGACAAGCUGUUUCUUUGCGUUGUUCCUAUGAAGCACAGUUUAGUAUUUACACAUACUGGUACAUUCAGCACCCUGGUCAGCCUCUGAAGCUCUUGUUGACGGAGUAUGAAAAUUAUGGCCAAGGAUUCCAUGCUACCCACCACAAAGGAGAUAAAAGUGGGACUUACAAUUUAGAGAAAGAGGCUAGCCAGCUGAAGGACUCUGCUGUCUACUUCUGUGCUGUCAGAGACACAAUGAGAGAAAGCAGAAGGGUAGCCAAUCAAAAACAGAAGAAAAGAAUUAAGA